rnacentral:rRNA from 1 species
AUUGAACGCUGGCGGCAGGCCUAACACAUGCAAGUCGAGCGGUUGCAGGGAGCUUGCUCCUGGAUUCAGCGGCGGACGGGUGAGUAAUGCCUAGGAAUCUGCCUGGUCGUGGGGGAUAACGUCCGGAAACGGGCGCUAAUACCGCAUCCGUCCUGAGGGAGAAAGUGGGGGAUCUUCGGACCUCACGCUAUCAGAUGAGCCUAGGUCGGAUUAGCUAGUUGGUGGGGUAAAGGCCUACCAAGGCGACGAUCCGUAACUGGUCUGAGAGGAUGAUCAGUCACACUGGAACUGAGACACGGUCCAGACUCCUACGGGAGGCAGCAGUGGGGAAUAUUGGACAAUGGGCGAAAGCCUGAUCCAGCCAUGCCGCGUGUGUGAAGAAGGUCUUCGGAUUGUAAAGCACUUUAAGUUGGGAGGAAGGGAAGUAAGUUAAUACCUUGCUGUUUUGACGUUACCAACAGAAUAAGCACCGGCUAACUUCGUG